CAACACAUUUCACCACCAACAUGUAUUCCCCACUACUCGGAAGAUCCAAAGCUCUUCAAUGCAUAAGAAAAAUGUUACAUGUAAUUAGGGUGACAAAGUAGGACGACGUUUGCAUUGAUGCUGUAAAAUAAUUGCAGAGGCAUUUUCCCGAAAAAAUCCAUAAAAUAAAUGCUUUUUAGGUACAUUACUGUUAAUUGAUUGGUGGAAUUUUUGCUUUCUUGUUUUUGUAUUGGGUCGCGUACAUGUAUGUCUAUCGUGUUAUGUGUCUCGUCACCGUGGGGUAGAGAAAAACGUAAUUUCGGUCUCUUUGUGUGUUGUGACAUGUGGAGAGAUUGACAAUAAAGCUGACUUUGACUUUGACUUUGAAUUGCAAUAUAAUUCAAGGUUGAUCUCGUUCAAAUUUAACCGUGUCCAAAUACAUCUCAAAAUAAUCCGUUUAGUACACAUUUGUAUGUGAAUGUCAAAUGAGAAAUUUAAAAUCAAUUCGGCACGCCCGAAAACUUUUUCUUUUUGCCAUCUUGGAGAUAAUUGAGAAUGAGAUGAGUGAAAAAAUAUACAAUCAAAAAUUGGCAAUUCGUACAUAGUUUAUUCACAAGCAAUUCAUGAAGCUUUUUUCCCCAAUUUUGAUAAAUACUUUUUUUAUUUGGUUACUCAGAUAUUCCCAAUUCAGAUGAUGCACAUUUUCUGGGAUACAUUGUACGGAGCAUUUGAAGUGAUAAUAUUUUUUACUUAAUUCAGAUGUGAUUCUAAUGUUAAUGUUAAUAGCUAUAGUUUACUUUAGGUUAUUUUAAUUCACUCUGUAUCUUCGCAGUUCACAAAACUAGUUUGGUUUUCUUUCAAGCACACGAUAUACUCUGCUAAUUUGUCACCAAGGCACUUUGAGCAUUAUGACUUCCUCUGAGAGGUAGCACUUCUCAGUACUGAGCACCAGGAAACCAAGCAAACAGUGGCAACAACAACAAUCAAAUACUGUAUUAUUAAUCAAGAAUAAAAAUGCCCUUUAAAGUGCAUUUCUUUUAUCAAGCGCAGUAGGCUCGAGUCUAUCAGUAUGCUGUCACACCCGUCCGUCCAUGUUGGACAGGCAACGUGUUGGGACAAGCUUAGAAUGCUUCCAAAUGGGACCAAAGUGCAGCAGGAAAGGCAAAGAAGGGGCGGGACACCUUUUCAAGUCAAGUCAAGUCAAGUUUAUUUGUAUAGCCCUAAAUCACAAGCAGUCUCAAAGGGCUUCACAUAGACAGAAAUUGACAAUUAUUCUCAAAGCAUCGCCUGAUCUUAAGCUCCCUUUUGUGCCCAAGCUCCCUUUUGUGCCCAAGAGCCACGUUUGACUUUGAAAACUGACACAUGGCUCAGGAAAUUUGUACUACUACAAAUGUAAAACUGAGAAAGGGCAUUUGUUUGCAAAAUCAUUUAUUUAAAUUUCUACAACUAUAAAAUGCACUGUGGCACUCAUUCACCGCAUAGCCUUAUUUGAAAAGCCGUUUUUCUUUUUUCUUUUUACACUCUGUGUCAGGGUUUUCCAAACUAUCUUGAUCUAUGAUUAUGUCGGAAUGUAUGUAACCAGUAAUAAAUAACCUAGCUUGUUCCAUCCUACACAAUGUCGUAAAACAUCCCCUGCUCUGCUAAUCUAGAGGUCAAGGGCUUUUUAACUUGUCUAUUCAGUCUACUAUCACCCCCACCCUUUUUCUCUUAAUAAAGAUGCUCUUGUGGGAAGCGAGAGUCAGACUUCAUUCGAGCAUCGCUGUAAACACAGCGACGAGUGAACUCUCCACCUGCAGGUGCCCAAAACGACUAACUUGUCUCCGUGUGGUUCUUGCAAAAUAAGUUAGAGUGAGCACCACUCUAACAUUUUGGUGCCGAAACCCGGGACCCUCAUACCCGCCAUCUGACUGACGGAGGAAGACGUGCUGCAUUGUCGACAAGCCAGCGUCCAUUAGGAGGACCUGGAAAAGAAAGUCCUGGGAAGAGAACUUCUUCGCUGGGCCAGCAUCUUAGGUCUGCCUUCGUCUGACAGAGGUGGUUGACGGGACCCGGAAAUGCAACGAACCAGGGGUCAAGUGACCUGGAGGGAAAGGUGAAAUGGUUGGACAACUAUCAGAAGGUCAAGCAACUGAGAGACGCACUGGUGUGGCUGCCUGUGUGGGAGUGGGCCAAGCGGGCCUUCAUUCCCGAGGAAGGGUGCACCUUCACGGUUCUUGACCAGCCCAUCUCUCUGGACCGACUCCGGCUCAGGAACAUCGAUCAGCUCAAUGCCUCAACAUCAGGGCUGCCUCAUUCUUUUAUAAUCACGCACCAGAACCGCUACCAGCAGUGUAUUGGUGCGUUUGUCCUUCAGGCUGUGUCCGAGUCUUCCAAGAGAGCAUGGCUAUCGAAGAUAGAGGAGGCCGUAUCGGCCCUGCUUAAGCUGGACUCUCGGCAGCCACGAGUAAAAAACGAUUCACUGUGGUUGGAAUCUUCUCAGAUCUGAAAUGUCCCGCUACACGAGAUGCCAUUGCACAUGCCCAGUUGUGCGCCGGCACUUCACUCUUCCGUGUCACCAAUGACUAUGAUUCCACUAGCAUGUCGUACGUACACAGUCAACUGCUGUAGUAGUCUACCAAUAAAACUUUG